rnacentral:lncRNA from 1 species
GAAGUUACAAAAAUGUAAUUUUUUUGAACUUGAUAACAACGAUUUAAGGUAGAAUCAUGGUUACUUUUUAAACAUGGGUUAUAUAAUGACAGUUAAAGGACAAGAUCAUUGUUAUUUUUAAAACGUUAGAGAUAUAACGAUGGCUUAAAAGUAGAAUCGUCGUUAUAUGAGCCAUUAAUUUUCAUUUUAACAUACUUUUCAUAGUUUGUGUCGUAAUUUUUCAUUGCAUUUCUUUGUAACUUCCUGCCACACUUACUCUCUCUUGUCGUCACUCAGUUUAUUGUUGGAUUGUUGAAGAGGUUGUCGUGGCUCUUUGAUGCCAUCAUUCUCUUUACAGUAAGUCAUUACUGUUGUCAUCACGAACACAAGCCACCAUCCUUCGAGAGCAUGAACUAUCAUUGUGGCUCUCCUCUGCCACCUUGUUCACUCUAUUUCUCUGUUGUGUUCCCUUGCGACCACAUUCCCUUACCUCCAUUGUCGACUUUCAUUCUUCAUCUUCACUUUUCCACACACUUCUCCAUCCUGUUCGUCACUAGCCAAAACGCCAUGAAUCCUCGCAUUGGGUGCACCAAUACUUCUCUCGUGUCUUCUUCUAUUCUUCUCCUUCCAUGUUAGUUUCAUACUCUAAUUUUUAUU